AAUACCCUUUAAAGGGUAAAAAAGUACCCGUUUUAAUAAAGCAUGAUGCUCUGUCAAAAAACGGGUAAAUUGAAAAAUGUAAAAUGGGUAAAUAAAUACCCAUUUCAGUAAAGCAAUGGAAGUUUAAAAAUGGGUAUUUUAAAACCCAUUUAUGGGUGAAAAUAUAGUUGGCAAUCAUUUUGUAAUCAUCGAGUGCAGCUGUGCGCAGUUCUCAAGUCUUAACAUUAAUUGAACAUAUUUCUAUAGGUUUAACGCCUUUUUUGUUCAAUUUAUAACCCGAUGGAAAAGUACAAAGAACCGGGUGUCUUGUUCCUGCCACAGACAUCUUUAGUGCCAACGACAGUCAUAAUAGAGAAGCGAUUUGUUGUAGAAAAUAUAUAAAAAUGAACACAAUGUAUCUUUAUAGUGAAUAUAAGUCAAUAAAACAAUAAAUGCCUGACUAUGUA
rnacentral:lncRNA from 1 species